rnacentral:rRNA from 1 species
GCCGCCUGGGGAGUACGGUCGCAAGAUUAAAACUCAAAGGAAUUGACGGGGACCCGCACAAGCGGUGGAUGAUGUGGAUUAAUUCGAUGCAACGCGAAAAACCUUACCUGGCCUUGACAUAGUAGGAAUCUUUAAGAGAUUAGAGAGUGCUAGCUUGCUAGAACCUACAUACAGGUGCUGCACGGCUGUCGUCAGCUCGUGUCGUGAGAUGUUGGGUUAAGUCCCGCAACGAGCGCAACCCACGUGAUUAGUUGCUAACGGUUCGGCCGAGAACUCUAAUCAGACUGCCUUCGUAAGGAGGAGGAAGGUGUGGACGACGUCAAGUCAUCAUGGCCCUUACGGCCAGGGCUACACACGUGCUACAAUGGGAUAUACAAAGAGUCGCAAUACCGCGAGGUGGAGCAAAUCUAGAAAAUAUCUCCCAGUUCGGAUUGUUCUCUGCAACUCGAGAACAUGAAGUUGGAAUCGCUAGUAAUCGUGGAUCAGCAUUGCCACGGUGAAUACGUUCCCGGGUCUUGUACUCACCGCCCGUCACACCAUGGGAGUUGAUUUCAUUCGAAGCGGGGAUGCUAAAGUAGCUACCUUCCACAAUGGGAUUAGCGACUGGGGUGAAGUCGUAACAAGGUAACC